CUAACUACGUGCCAGCAGCCGCGGUAAUACGUAGGGUGCGAGCGUUGUCCGGAAUUAUUGGGCGUAAAGAGCUUGUAGGCGGUUUGUCGCGUCUGCCGUGAAAAUCCGAGGCUCAACCUCGGACUUGCGGUGGGUGCGGGCAGACUAGAGUGUGGUAGGGGAGACUGGAAUUCCUGGUGUAGCGGUGAAAUGCGCAGAUAUCAGGAGGAACACCGAUGGCGAAGGCAGGUCUCUGGGCCACUACUGACGCUGAGAAGCGAAAGCAUGGGGAGCGAACAGGAUUAGAUACCCUGGUAGUCCAUGCCGUAAACGUUGGGAACUAGGUGUGGGUCUCAUUCCACGAGAUCCGUGCCGCAGCUAACGCAUUAAGUUCCCCGCCUGGGGAGUACGGCCGCAAGGCUAAAACUCAAAGGAAUUGACGGGGGCCCGCACAAGCGGCGGAGCAUGCGGAUUAAUUCGAAGCAACGCGAAGAACCUUACCAAGGCUUGACAUAUGCGAGAACGCUGCAGAGAUGCAGAACUCUUUGGACACUCGCAUACAGGUGGUGCAUGGUUGUCGUCAGCUCGUGUCGUGAGAUGUUGGGUUAAGUCCCGCAACGAGCGCAACCCUCGUUCUAUGUUGCCAGCACGUAAUGGUGGGGACUCAUAGGAGACUGCCGGGGUCAACUCGGAGGAAGGUGGGGAUGACGUCAAAUCAUCAUGCCCCUUAUGUCCUGGGCUUCACGCAUGCUACAAUGGCCGGUACAAAGGGCUGCGAAACCGCGAGGUGGAGCGAAUCCCAAAAAACCGGUCUCAGUUCGGAUUGGGGUCUGCAACUCGACCCCACGAAGUCGGAGUCGCUAGUAAUCGCAGAUCAGCAACGCUGCGGUGAAUACGUUCCCGGGCCUUGUACACACCGCCCGUCAAGUCACGAAAGUCGGUAACACCCGAAGCCGGUGGCCCAACUCUUUGAGGGGAGCCGUCGAAGGUGGGACUGGCGAUUGGGACUAAGUCGUAACAAGGUAGCCGUACCGGAAGGUGCGGCUG
rnacentral:rRNA from 1 species